rnacentral:rRNA from 1 species
GAGUUUGAUCGUGGCUCAGAACGAACGCUGGCGGCAUGCCUAACACAUGCAAGUCGAACGGGAUCCAGGCUUCGGCCUGGUGAGAGUGGCGGACGGGUGAGUAACGCGUGGGAACCUGCCCAAUGGUCUGGGAUAACCGCGGGAAACUGCGGCUAAUACCGGAUAAGCCCGAGAGGGGGAAGAUUUAUCGCCGAUGGAGGGGCCCGCGUCCGAUUAGGUAGUUGGUGAGGUAACGGCUCACCAAGCCGACGAUCGGUAGCUGGUCUGAGAGGAUGAUCAGCCACACUGGGACUGAGAUACGGCCCAGACUCCUACGGGAGGCAGCAGUGGGGAAUAUUGGACAAUGGGGGCAACCCUGAUCCAGCAAUGCCGCGUGAGUGAUGAAGGCCUUAGGGUUGUAAAGCUCUUUUGGCGGGGACGAUGAUGACGGUACCCGCAGAAUAAGCCCCGGCUAACUUCGUGCCAGCCGCCGCGGUAAU